rnacentral:rRNA from 1 species
GAUUACUAACAACUCCGACUUCAUGUAUGCGAGUUGCAGCCUACAAUCCGAACUGGGAUCGGCUUUUUGGGUUUCGCUCACUAUCACUAGUUGGCUGCCCGUUGUACCGACCAUUGUAGCACGUGUGUAGCCCAGGACAUAAAGGGCAUGAUGAUUUGACGUCAUCCCCACCUUCCUCCGGUUUGUCACCGGCAGUCUUCUUAGAGUCCUCAGCAUCACCUGUUAGUAACUAAGAACGAGGGUUGCGCUCGUUGCGGGACUUAACCCAACAUCUCACGACACGAGCUGACGACAACCAUGCACCACCUGUAUAGGGGCAUCCGAAGAUGCUACUCUAUCUCUAGAGUAUCCCCCUAUAUGUCAAGCCCUGGUAAGGUUCUUCGCGUUGCUUCGAAUUAAACCACAUGCUCCGCUGCUUGUGCGGGUCCCCGUCAAUUCCUUUGAGUUUCAUGCUUGCGCACGUACUCCCCAGGCGGAGUGCUUAAUGUGUUAACUGCGGCACCGAGGUUUGACCCCCAACACCUAGCACUCAUCGUUUACGGCGUGGACUACCAGGGUAUCUAAUCCUGUUUGCUCCCCCGCUUUCGUACCUCAGCGUCAGUACAUGUCCAGAAAGUCGCCUUCGCCACCGGUAUUCCUCCUAAUAUCUACGCAUUUCACCGCCUACACUAGGAAUUCCACUUUCCUCUCCAUGACUCAGUGGACCAGUUUUCCAUGCCUUGAAUGGGGUGGAGCCCAUCGAUUUCACAUCAGACUUAAAAACCGCCCU